rnacentral:rRNA from 1 species
CCUACGGGUGGCUGCAGUAGGGAAUUUUUCACAAUGGGCGAAAGCCUGAUGGAGCAAUGCCGCGUGAAUGAUGAAGGUCUUAUAGAUUGUAAAAUUCUUUUAUUUGGGAAGAAAAACUAAAGUAGGAAAUGACUUUAGUCUGACUGUACCAUUUGAAUAAGUAUCGGCUAACUAUGUGCCAGCAGCGGCGGUAAUACAUAGGAUGCAAGCGUUAUCCGGAUUUACUGGGCGUAAAACGAGCGCAGGCGGGUUAACAAGUUUGGUAUAAAAGGCUUUUGGUUAACAAAAGUUUGUAUCAGAAAGUGUUAAUCUAGAGUGUGGUAGAGAGUGGUGGAAUUCCAGGUGGAGCGGUAGAAUCCGUAGAUAUAUAGAAGAACAC